rnacentral:rRNA from 1 species
AACGAACGCUGGCGGCAUGCCUAACACAUGCAAGUCGAACGAAACCUCCGGGUCUAUUGGCGCACGUGUGCGUAACGCGUGGGAACCUGCCCUUAGGUUCGGAAUACCUCCCCGACAGGGGUGCUAAUACCGGAUAAUGUCUUCGGACCAAAGAUUUAUUGCCUUUGGAUGGGCCCGCGUUGGAUUCGCUCGUUGGUAGGGUAAUAGCCUACUAAGGCGACGAUGCAUAGCUGGUCUGAGAGGAUGAUUAGCCACACUGGGACUGAGACACGGCCGAGAAUCGUACGGGAGGGAGGAGAGGGGAAUAGUGGACAAUGGGCGAAAGCAUGAACCAGCAAGGCCGGGUGAGUGAUGAAGGCCGUAGGGAAGUAAAGCUCUUUUACCCGGGAUGAUAAUGACAGUACCGGGAGAAUAAGCUCCGGCUAACUACGUG